ACGUCACGAAAGGUAUCACAAGCGGUACAACUGGCAAACACCGUUUUCACGAAGUGCGCUAGUGGUCUCUUACGCGCAAAUGUAGUCUGCUAUUGAUAAUCGUACACGAACCGGCUCCGCGAAGCCUUUGUCACAGAUGCCGGUGCUUCUGGCGGAAUUGUUAGAGGAAUCUGACCGCCCUAGAAUAGCCGGCUGAGAGGACCAUCACUAGCACUCCCAGUGGCUGAUGUCUAAGUAGGAGUUUGACGUGGAGAGCUUUUAGCAUGUUGUUGAGUUUACCAGUAGAAUAGACAGCUGGGAUAUGCAAGAGAUGAGGGACCACUAGCACCCCCAGUGGUUGAUGUCCAUGUAGGAGUUUGUGCAGCUGAUGUGGAGAGCUUUUAGCAAAUUGACGAGCAUCUUCACCCUCUGCCCUUGAACUGAUUACGUUUCCAAUACCACGGUUUGGAGGUCAGACCAAACAACUGACAGACCGACCGACUGAAUAGCUAAGUCCCCUCAGUGAUCAAAGG
rnacentral:lncRNA from 1 species